AGGGGGCGCCCUUGUGCAAGGCGCUGGGCACCCGGCGUCUUCGCAGGCUCCAGGGGUCCCCAGCAGCACUCCUGGGCCUUGGGCUUGGUGCCUCCUCAUUGACUGGACCUAAACCCCUGUCCACGGUGUUAAUCCUCAUCCCACUCCUUGCCUCAACUCUGCAUGCCUGACCGCUAACUUCAACAUCUCCCAAGACCUCCUCAUCUCCGGAUGAAUUCUGAGCUCACGUUCUGGACCGCUGCCAGGAAGAAGGAAGCGGCAUUAGUUUAAAGCAUCACACAAAAGGCCGCAGCAAGCCAAGGAUUUAAACACUGAAGAGUUUGAACAGCAAGCGGUGGGCACCAUCAGCAGUGAUAAGAUGGAACUGCAUUUUAAAAAGGUCAUUUGGGCUUCUGUGGAAGAAGGAGGAAAGGACUUGAGAAGAGACAAAUAGACCAAUCAGAUAUGCAUCGGAGCCGUCCAGACUUGGUCUCUCAAGGUGGUGCAGACGACGAUGGAGGGUAAUGAUGACUGUGUGAGAGAAUGUUUUCAGUGCACAUUUUGGAUGGCUAGAUGACAAAACCAGGAAGAGUAUCUAUCCCUAACCUUUGUCCUUUCCUGUAGCCAUUGGCUUCCUUCUGGGAUGUCAGGCAGGUGGGUCACCAAGGAGGAAGGGGUUCCAGGCAUCUUCCAGACCCACAGGCACGCCCUGCUUUCUGGGGGAUGCAGGGGAAUCCCACACUGUGUUCCUCCACUCACCUUCUUUUAUUUUCUUAUCAGUUACAUUUUAUUAACUCUGUAUCCCAGCCGUAUCCCGAUCCCUCAUUCCCUCCCAAUCCCGCCCUCCCUCCCUCAUCUCCACCCUGCCCCUUUCCAAGUCCACUGAUAGGGGGGACCUCCUCCCCAUUCAUCUGAUCCUGUUUUAUCAGGCAUCUUCAGGAGUGGCUGCAAAGCCCUCCUCUGUGGCCU